CACGAAUCGUUUUCUGGAAUUUUCCACGGUACUUGUGGAGACAAGGCCGCAGCUAGAAGGAAUCAAUCGGCAACUGCAAAACAUGGUCACAGGGAACCUGGAACCUAUCCCAGGGAGCAUUGGACACAAGGCAGGGUACACCCUGGACAGGGUGCCAGUCCAUCACAGGGCACAAUCACAUACACACACCCAUUCAUACACUACAGACAUGCCAAUCAGCCUACCAUACAUGUCUUUGGACUGGGAGAGGAAACUGGAGUACCCAGAGAAAACCCCCACAGCACAGGGAGAACACACAAACUCCGCACACACAUGACCCCAGCAGGACUCAAACCCCAGACCCUGGAGGUGUGAGGCGAACAUGCUAACCACUAAGCCACCAUGCGACCUUGACAAAUGGUUAAAGACAUGUCCUUUUGCUUCAAGGCAGUGGUCUACCUCUACGCAGAAAAAUC